GAUGAUUUGACUGGGGAAAUACUUGAUGGAAGGUGAAGAAAAUGGACAUUGGUCCUUACAUGGACACACCAAAUUGGUCUGAAGAAAGUGAAGAGGAAAAUGAUCAGCUGCCCUUAAGCAGAGAGGACUCUGGAAUUCAGAUAGACAGGACACCGU